CCCAGGGUCCCCAUGUCACUAGGAAGACGGGAAGACCUGGGGACACGGGGAGACCUAGGGACACGGAGACACCAGUGACACUGGGAGACUAGGGGACUCUGGCUGGGACGCAUGGGGACACUGGGAAAAUAGGGGACACUUGACAUGGGGACACAGACACCAGGGACACAGACACUAGAGACACUGGCUGGGGGACAUGGGGGCACUGGGAGACAUGGGGACAAGGAGACACCAGGGCCACAGACACUAGGGACACUAGCUUGGAGACAUGGGGACAUUGAGGCACUGGGAGACAUGGAGGCACUAGGAGACAUGGGGACAGUGAGACACUGGCAGACUCUGGGCACUGGGAGACUAGGG